rnacentral:rRNA from 1 species
AGCGAACGCUGGCGGCAGGCCUAACACAUGCAAGUCGAACGAACCUUUCGGGGUUAGUGGCGGACGGGUGAGUAACACGUGGGAACGUGCCUUUAGGUUCGGAAUAACUCAGGGAAACUUGUGCUAAUACCGAAUGUGCCCUUCGGGGGAAAGAUUUAUCGCCUUUAGAGCGGCCCGCGUCUGAUUAGCUAGUUGGUUGAGGUAAUGGCUCACCAAGGCGACGAUCAGUAGCUGGUCUGAGAGGAUGAUCAGCCACAUUGGGACUGAGACACGGCCCAAACUCCUACGGGAGGAAGCAGUGGGGAAUCUUGCGCAAUGGGCGAAAGCCUGACGCAGCCAUGCCGCGUGAAUGAUGAAGGUCUUAGGAUUGUAAAAUUCUUUCACCGGGGACGAUAAUGACGGUACCCGGAGAAGAAGCCCCGGCUAACUUCGUG